GAUGAACGCUGGCGGCGUGCCUAAUACAUGCAAGUCGAGCGAACAGACGAGGAUCUUGCUCCUCUGACGUUAGCGGCGGACGGGUGAGUAACACGUGGAUAACCUACCUAUAAGACUGGCAUAACUUCGGGAAACCGGAGCUAAUACCGGAUAAUAUAUUGAACCGCAUGGUUCAAUAGUGAAAGACGGUUUUGCUGUCACUUAUAGAUGGAUCCUCGCCGCAUUAGCUAGUUGGUAAGGUAACGGCUUACCAAGGCAACGAUGCGUAGCCGAUCUGAGAGGAUGAUCGGCCACACUGGAACUGAGACACGGUCCAGACUCCUACGGGAGGCAGCAGUAGGGAAUCUUCCGCAAUGGGCGAAAGCCUGACGGAGCAACGCCGCGUGAGUGAUGAAGGUCUUCGGAUCGUAAAACUCUGUUAUUAGGGAAGAACAAAUGUGUAAGUAACUAUGCACGUCUUGACGGUACCUACUCAGAAAGCCACGGCUAACUACGUG
rnacentral:rRNA from 1 species